rnacentral:rRNA from 1 species
AUUGAACGCUGGCGGCAGGCCUAACACAUGCAAGUCGAACGCGUCGCGGACGGGUGAGUAAUGUCUGGGAAACUCCCUGAUGGAGGGGGAAAAAUACUGAAAACGGUAGCUAAUACCGCAUACUCUGAGAUGUGCACAGAUGGGAUUAGCGUGUGGGUGGGGUAACGGCUCACCAAGGCGACGAUCCCUAGCUGGUCUGAGAGGAUGACCAGCCACACGGGAACUGAGACACGGUCCAGACUCCUACGGGAGGCAGCAGGGGGGAAUAUUGCACAAUGGGCGCAAGCCUGAUGCAGCCAUGCCGCGUGUGUGAAGAAGGCCUUCGGGUUGUAAAGCACUUUCAGCGGGGAGGCGUUACCCGCAGAAGAAGCACCGGCUAACUCCGUGCCAGCAGCCGCGGUAAUUC